rnacentral:rRNA from 1 species
GACAGAGGGUGCAAACGUUGUUCGGAAUUACUGGGCGUAAAGCGCGUGUAGGCGGCCCUGUAAGUCGGGUGUGAAAUCCCACGGCUCAACCGUGGAAGUGCAUUCGAAACUACAGGGCUAGAGUUCUGGAGAGGAAGGUGGAAUGCUUGGUGUAGAGGUGAAAUUCGUAGAUAUCAAGCGGAGCACCGGUGGCGAAGGCGGCCUUCUGGACAGUAACUGACGCCGAGACGCGAAAGCGUGGGGAGCAAACAGG